CCUACGGGGUGCAGCAGUGGGGGAUAUUGCACAAUGGGCGAAAGCCUGAUGCAGCGACGCCGCGUGAGGGAAGACGGUCUUCGGAUUGUAAACCUCUGUCUUUGGGGAAGAAAAAGCAUCGGCUAACUCCGUGCCAGCAGCCGCGGUAAUACGGAGGAUGCGAGCGUUAUCCGGAUUUAUUGGGUUUAAAGGGUGCGCAGGCGGAUUUUUAAGUCAGCGGUCAAAUCGUGGGGCUCAACCCCAUCCAGCCGUUGAAACUGGGGAUCUAGAGUGUGCGAGAGGUAUGCGGAAUGCGUGGUGUAGCGGUGAAAUGCAUAGAUAUCACGCAGAACCCCGAUUGCGAAGGCAGCAUACCGGUGCACAACUGACGCUCAGGCACGAAAGCGUGGGUAUCGAACAGGAUUAGAUACCCUUGUAGUC
rnacentral:rRNA from 1 species